AAGUCGUAACAAGGUCUCCGUUGGUGAACCAGCGGAGGGAUCAUUACCGAGUUUACAACUCCCAAACCCAUGUGAACAUUACCUCUAUGUUGCUUCGGCGGAGCCGCCCCGGCGCCCGGAACCCCCUGCGGUCCCGCGGCCCGGAACCAAGGCGCCCGCCGGAGGCCACAAACUCUUCUGUUUUUACAGUUUCUUCUGAGUGUGCCGCAAGGCAGUAUACAAAUGAAUCAAAACUUUCAACAACGGAUCUCUUGGUUCUGGCAUCGAUGAAGAACGCAGCGAAAUGCGAUAAGUAAUGUGAAUUGCAGAAUUCAGUGAAUCAUCGAAUCUUUGAACGCACAUUGCGCCCGCCAGAAUUCUGGCGGCAUGCCUGUUCGAGCGUCAUUUCAACCCUCGAGCUCCCCUUUCGGGGGAGCCCGGCGUUGGGGACCCGGCGCUAACAACGCCGGCCCCGAAAUGGAGUGGCGGCCCGUCCGCGGCGACCUCUGCGUAGUAACAACCACUCGCACCGGGACCCGGGCGCGGCCACGCCGUAAAACACCCCACCUUCCGAAUGUUGACCUCGAAUCAGGUAGGAAUACCCGCUGAACUUAA
rnacentral:rRNA from 1 species